UACGUAGGGUGCGAGCGUUAAUCGGAAUUACUGGGCGUAAAGCGUGCGCAGGCGGUGACCCAAGUCAGAUGUGAAAUCCCCGGGCUUAACCUGGGAACUGCAUUUGAAACUAUGUCGCUAGAGUGUAGCAGAGGGGGGUAGAAUUCCACGUGUAGCAGUGAAAUGCGUAGAGAUGUGGAGGAAUACCGAUGGCGAAGGCAGCCCCCUGGGUUAACACUGACGCUCAUGCACGAAAGCGUGGGGAGCAAACAGG
rnacentral:rRNA from 1 species